AAAGAUGCUCAAGAAGGAGGAAAAUGAAGUUCAUGAGGAUGUAUUUGUGAUUUGAUGCUAUGGACAAAGGCUGGAAAUCUGGAUUGAGGCCACUAGUUGGCCUAGAUAGUAUAUUCUUGAAAGGUAGAGUUGAGGGCAUCUUAUCGGUUACACUAGGACAAGAUUUUAUGAACCAUUUCUUUCAACUAGCUUGGGCAAUUGUGGACAAGGAAACAAGCAGGACAUGGAGCUGGUUCUGUUAGCUACUGAAGAGGUGUUUGGACCUUAAAGAUAGUGUAGGGAUUACAAUCAUUUCAGAUAUGCAAAAGGGAUUGGUAGGUGUUGUUGAAAAAGUUUUGCCUGAAGCUCAUCACAUGUUUUGUGUGAGGCAUAGUGAGAGUAACUGGUGCAAAAAGUGGAGGAGUGAUCAAAUGAGGAAGCUUAUGUGGUGGUAAGCAUGGAGUUCAUAUGAAGAAUUCAAGGACCAAUUAAAGAGGUUCAGAAAUUUAUCAAAAGAUGUUGCAAGAGAUUUGGUGAAAUAUCCACCAAGGGCAUGGUGCUGGGCUUAUUUGGACACUCAAUGUAAAAACAUAAUGGUUGAUAACAACUUCACUGAAUCAUUCAAUUCCUGGAUCCUUCAAGCUAGAGAAAAUCCAAUAAUCAAGAUGUUAGGGGACAUAAGAGUUAAAGUGAUAUGGAUGCUACGGAAUAAUGAAAACAAGUUGAGGAGUUGGACUUUUGAUGUUAGUACAACUUGCAUAAAGUUGUACAAUGACUUCAUGGCUAUAGCACAUAGUUGUAGGGUAGAAUUCAAUGGAGAUUGGGCGUAUGAGGUGUAUAAAGAUGAAGGUAGACAUACUGUCCAUCUAGAGCAAAACGAUGCACCUGCAGACUUCAAGAUUUAUCAGGUAUUUCAUGCCCUCAUAUUAUCAAAGCAUUGAUGCACAAGAAGGUGGAUCCUGUAACUGAAAUCCAUUGGUGGUAUAGUAAGAAGGCUUACAUGCUAACCUACAAGCACAACAUACAACACAGCAGAGGUCAAAGGUUCUGGGAGGUUGAAGCUUCAAAUGCAAUGUUGCCUCCUGCUGUUGUGAAACAAGUUGGCAAACCUAAAAUGAAGAGGAACAGGGAACCAGAUGAGACAAGAAAGAGGAAGGGUGAGUGGUCCCAAACUAGAAAGGGCACUCAAAUAACAUGUAGUAACUGUGGUGAACCAAAUCAUACUGCAACGAGUUGUUACGGUGUAAUCAUUAUGUUCUACAAUUUCAUAUUCUCAGUUUUAUGAAUAGAUCUUAUUAAUUUCUAUUUUUCAGUUUGUUUAACAUCAUACUGAUUGACAAUAUUUUUUUAUCGGACAAGUUUACUGGGAACAAUUCAAACUCAAGGAAGGAAAAAAGGCCAAUGACUGAUAAGAGUUCACAAUCAAGAACAGUUGGGGGUGCCGAUGAGAAUGAAAAUGGUACACAAGAGUCUACUCUCCAAGCUGCAGCACAAGAGACGUGACAAUACGGUCCUGAUGUUGCCAUUGAAGAAGACCCACCCUUAAGGCAAAUGGUGAUUUCUGAAUCACCGUUAAGGAGUGGGAAGUUGAAGACAAGAAGUGUUCAAUAAGACAAAUCCAGUUUAUAGGAGAUCACACUAGUGUUUUAGUUCCAACCAAUAUUCCUUACUCUCCAGUCAAGGCAACUUGGAAAGGAAAAGAAGCAAUAUCUUCUGGACAAGUGCAGAUGGA